GCAGGCUAAGUCCCAAUUUGACCUUGUCGAGGAUGCGAGCGACAUCUGGAUAGAAUUUUCGCAAGUAAACUACCCGAGCGCACCACUGUUGGUAUGGUAGAAAUGCUGGAAAAGGGGUUUGUGUUUGCGUUUCCUCGUAACAGAAUUGUUUUCUCGUACAUUCAAAUUACAAUCCGAUGCCACCAUGGCUGUAGGCUGUGGUUUUUCUGACGGAUUUUACUGUGAGAAAUGCAAUUUUUUGUUCACUAACACCUUGCGCCACACGGAGGGCCUGCGCGGUCGGGGUGGUUCGGGAUCAUUUUCUCCGCCACGGACGCCGACGCCAACGCCGCAUUUUCUGCGACACGGGGCCCUUAACGCUGUCGUGUUAAUAAAUAUCAUUGACCUUCAAGGCUUAUCUGCAAUCCACUCCACAAUGUAAGUAUAUUCCCCGCGCAGCCUCGUAAUAUUGCACACGACAUUGUCUAAAUCUCAAUUAUAUAAUUGCUGUGCUAUUUUAUUUUAUUAUUUUAAUAUCUCAUGCACUAUUUUAAUAUGAUUGUGUUGUUUAUUUUGUUGCUUUUGUAUUGUUUAAAUAAUCUCAAGAAGUGACAGUUCCCUGAAAUAUAAACAAUAUUACAUAAUUGCAAUCUUUUUGUUUCGACGCGCUAUAAAUCAUUGCGUCCAAAGUUCGCCUUUAUCUCUUGCCUACCCCAAUUCGAUAAUUUUUGGUUGGUGCACAUGUAGGUAUAGCAAUCGGUAUUAGUAUUGUGUUAAUUGCUUGUUUCUAAGAAAUAACUUUUUCUAGCAAAUGAACGUAAAAUUUCAAAUUUCGCGCCUCAAUCCUGAAAAUUGUCCUUAACAAAAUGGCGCCUACAGUUAUCAACGGCCUUUUGUUUAUACUUUAAAGAUAAAACCUUGUGAACGUUGCGUUUUUGUAUAAUUAUUGUUACAUAUUAUAGCAUUUAAUAUUAUAAAAUAAUAACGUAAAUAUAGUAGCAAUUUUAAAGAAGAAUUGGCAAGAAGCAGUCUGGCGCAACGUCUCGGGUUUUCAUUCUGCCUGCUUUGGCGGCGUAUUCAUUGCGUUGCGAUUGCAUCAUUCUUCUCGGAGCCGGAGUGAGCUUGAAGUCGCGUGUUUGCAUUAGUUUUUUGAAGUGCUGUUGGGGUUGGGGCUGCGUGAUCGUCACUGGCGUCCUCCAGAGUGCCCACCGAUCAGAAAGUCGUACGAACCGCAAGCUUUGAACGUCUGUUUAUCGCACCAUCGAAAGCGGCGGCACAGAAGGCGCGAUGUGAGCUCCGGUGGGAACAGCAGCCCUUUGUCUCGUAACGGUGCCGUCCAGACUGGCCAUGAGACCAGCGAGUUUGCUGUAGAAACAGCCAUUUGGGAGUGGCUGCGUCACGCUUCUGCCAGGCACAGAACUGCCAUUGCCAAGGACUGUGCCACUGAACAGCCCGGAUAUGUGUGACAUGGUUCCCUCGGCCUGUUGUACCUUUACCUAUCACCCGCGGCAUCUAGCUGCCAGUGUGACCUUGCUUUCUUCAGCGCUGUGCCACUGAAUAGCCCGGACACGUCUGACAUGGUCUCCUAGGCCUGCUGUACUUUCACCCAUCACCCGUGGCGUCUAGAUCCAGUGUGCCGAGUUGUCCAAAACUGCCAAGUGCUUUAUGAUGUCACCAAUGUGCCAAAUGCUCUAGUACUGUUAUGUGCUCCGCCACUCUGCCAUGCGCUCUCCACUUCUCCAGUAUAUAAAGUGUCCCAUGGCGUCUCCAUUUGCGAAGUGCAUUACCAAGUCUCCAAGUGCUCCAGUACUGUGUUAUGUGCUCCGCUGCUGUGCCGAGUGCUCUCCGUUUAUGCAGUAUACCAAGUGCCCAUUGCGUCUCCGCAUUUUACCAAGUGCUCCAAUAUUGUCAACUGCUUGACCACGUCUGGAAUGUGCCAUGUGCUCCACUGCUGUGCCAAGUGUAUACUUUGUAAAUGAUAUACAUGUCUUAAGUUCAACCAAUACCUCUAUUGCAUAACUUAUCCAUACAGUGGGUCUUCACAUAGACUUCUAAGUCAGUAUGUACACAUAUUGUAGAGUUGUGUUACUGUUUCUGUAGAGUAGAUGUGGGUCAACAUGUUUUUUUUCUUCAUAGAAGGCUACAGCGCGGAACCAACAAAGACAAGGAACACAGACACAGUGCUGACUUUCAACAAGAAUCAGCUUUCUGAAAGUCAGUGCUGUGUCUGUUCUUUGUGUGCCUCUCCUGUCUUCGUCGGUUUCGUGCCAUGGCCUUCUACGAUGUUCAACCAACAAGCCCAAGUGGUUACUCUGCUCAAUGUUUUUUCU